AUUGAACGCUGGCGGCAUGCUUUACACAUGCAAGUCGAACGGUAACAGGGAGCUUGCUCCGCUGACGAGUGGCGAACGGGUGAGUAAUGCGUCGGAACGCGCCGAGAAGUGGGGGAUACGCAUCGAAAGGUGUGCUAAUACCGCAUACGUACUGAGGUAGAAAGUGGGGGACCUUCGGGCCUCAAGCUAUUCGAGCGGCCGACGGAUGAUUAGCUAGUUGGUGAGGUAAAGGCUCACCAAGGCGACGAUCAGUAGCGGGUCUGAGAGGAUGAUCCGCCACACUGGGACUGAGACACGGCCCAGACUCCUACGGGAGGCAGCAGUGGGGAAUUUUGGACAAUGGGCGCAAGCCUGAUCCAGCCAUGCCGCGUGUCUGAAGAAGGCCUUCGGGUUGUAAAGGACUUUUGUCCGGGAGCAAAUACCCAGUGCUAAUAACGCUGGGGGCUGAGAGUACCGGAAGAAUAAGCACCGGCUAACUACGUGCCAGCCGCCGCCGUAAUAC
rnacentral:rRNA from 1 species